rnacentral:rRNA from 1 species
UAAACGACUCUCGGCAACGGAUAUCUCGGCUCACGCAUCSAUGAASAACGUAGCAAAAUGCGAUACUUGGUGUGAAUUGCACAAUCCCGUGAACCAUCGAGUUUUUGAACGCAAGUUGCGCCCGAAGCCUUUUGGCCGAGGGCACGUCUGCCUGGGCGUCACAC